UACGGGGGGGAGCAAACGUUGUUCGGAAUCACUGGGCGUAAAGGGCGUGUAGGCGGCUGGAUAAGUGGGAUGUUAAAUCCCCCGGCUCAACCGGGGACCUGCAUCUCAUACUGUUCAGCUCGAGCACAUCAGAGGAGACUGGAAUUCCCCGGUGUAGCGGUGAAAUGCGUAGAUAUCGGGGAGGAACACCAGUGGCGAAGGCGAGUCUCUGGGAUGAUGCUGACGCUGAGGCGCGAAAGCCAGGGGAGCAAACGGG
rnacentral:rRNA from 1 species